GACAUGGCUCAGGACGAACGCUGGCGGCGCGCCUAACACAUGCAAGUCGAACGAGCGAGAGAGAGUUUACUUUUUCGAGCGAGUGGCGAACGGGUGAGUAACGCGUGAGGAACCUGCCUCAAAGAGGGGGACAACAGUUGGAAACGACUGCUAAUACCGCAUAAGCCCACGACCCGGCAUCGGGUAGAGGGAAAAGGAGCAAUCCGCUUUGAGAUGGCCUCGCGUCCGAUUAGCUAGUUGGUGAGGUAA
rnacentral:rRNA from 1 species